AUUGAACGCUGGCGGCAUGCCUUACACAUGCAAGUCGAACGGUAACAGGUCUUCGGAUGCUGACGAGUGGCGAACGGGUGAGUAAUACAUCGGAACGUGCCCGAUCGUGGGGGAUAACGAGGCGAAAGCUUUGCUAAUACCGCAUACGAUCUACGGAUGAAAGCGGGGGAUCUUCGGACCUCGCGCGGACGGAGCGGCCGAUGGCAGAUUAGGUAGUUGGUGGGAUAAAAGCUUACCAAGCCGACGAUCUGUAGCUGGUCUGAGAGGAUGAUCAGCCACACGGGGACUGAGACACGGCCCAGACUCCUACGGGAGGCAGCAGUGGGGAAUUUUGGACAAUGGGCGAAAGCCUGAUCCAGCCAUGCCGCGUGCAGGAUGAAGGCCUUCGGGUUGUAAACUGCUUUUGUACGGAACGAAAAGCCUCUUUCUAAUAAAGAGGGGUCAUGACGGUACCGUAAGAAUAAGCACCGGCUAACUACGUG
rnacentral:rRNA from 1 species